rnacentral:rRNA from 1 species
GUCCUCUUGAUAAUACUUUGAGGUCUGGCCUGCUCACUGACAAGGUUUUGAAGAGCCGCGGUAUUUUGACCGUGCAAAGGUAGCAUAAUCAUUAGUCUCUUAAUUAGAGGCUGGAAUGAAUGGCUUGACGAGAAAUCAACUGUCUCUUAAUAAUUUUUAAAAUUUAACUUUUAAGUUAAAAGGCUUAAAUUUUUCUUUAGGACGAGAAGACCCUAUAGAGCUUGACAUUUUAUUUUUAUAUAGUUUUUAGUUUAUCUUUCUAUAUUUAAUGAUAAUGUUUUGUUGGGGUGACAUGAAGAAUAAUUAAACUCUUCAUUAUUAAAUCAUUGAUUUAUGUUUAUCAUGAUCCAUAAUUUAUGAUCAUAAGAUUAAGUUACCUUAGGGAUAACAGCGUAAUUGUUUUUGAGAGCUCAUAUCGACAAAGCAGAUUGCGACCUCGAUGUUGGAUUAAGAAAAAUUUUGGGUGUAGGAGCUCAAUAAUUAGGUCUGUUCGACCUUUAAAUUCUUACA